UGGGAAUAAGUUACUUUAUCUGCUAACAACUGAUAUAUUUGGUUUCACUUUUGAUUUGCACUUUUGUGUUUAGAAGUAAACUUUCUCUACACUUUCUCUGCUUUGCCCUUAUGCAUUAUUGAUACCAAUAUUAUCCUAAGUGGCUCAGUGGUAAAGAAUCCACUUGCCAAUGCAGAAGACACAGGAGAUUCAGGUUCAAUCCCUGGGUCAGGAAGAGCCCUUGGAGGAGAAAACAGCAACUCAAUCCAGAAUUCUUGCCUGGAAAAAUCCCAUGGACAGAGGAGCCUGGUGGGCUACAGCCCAUUGGGUAGCAAAGAAUCAGACAUAGCAACUGAGCAUGCACGCACUCAUAAAGUAAAUUUCUCUGACAGGCAGCUGCUUCCUCAACUCCCACUCCUGCUAUGAGGUCGCCUCCCCACCGUUCCAGUUCUCACGGGGAACUGUGUAUCCAUGUCCCCUCCGUGUAGUCUUUCUACUGCUGCUAGCCUCCAGGAGUCUCACCAUCCCUUGUCAUUCCUUACACCUUGCCAAUGCCUUCAUUAAAUUGCAUGGAAACUGGAAUAGUGAUGGCUAUUCUAUGGUGGAUUAUAGGGAAGACUGACAAUCACGUGAAGUUACUGACUUAUAUCACAAAGAAUAUUUUAAUGGAUAGUUACCUGAGCAGCUGGAUUCAUCAGGUUGGAAAUCCAUGCAGUCUGCAAAACCAUCACAGCGCUUGUGCACUGGGAUACAGCUGUUAGAAGAAGAGCAUGUCAAAGCUCCAUGAAAACAGCUCUCGUUGGCUGAAGGA